CUAUGGACAGUCCUUUGCUUUUCUAGACACGAGUAAGCUUGGGAAUGCGCUACUUCAUUCUAGGCCAGGCUGCCUGCAGAUCUAGACCCUUUCCUCUGCUACUUUAUUGCCAGUUACAUUAACUGCAAUCUAUGACAAGAGUUGAUUAACACUGUCCUAUAGUCAACAUCUCUUAGUAAUAGUGAAAGUCGUCCUACUCAAUAACCAUCCUCUGUGGUCUCCCUCACACCAGCCACACAGGUUUUCAGAGUGGCCGGCCUAUCACCCGCAGCUGAACGAGGUACAUGGCCAUCCAACCAGAAACUCCAUUUUCCGGUCUCUCCUGCAGGGAGCCCCGCAGACAUUCCAGUGCUGCCAAAUCUGAAGCAGGAAGGACAACAGAAUCGCACCCACUGAGAACGUCGUGCAGGCAAACAGAGCCCGCCCCACACUGGCUGCUGGGUGUGCCCUGGGAUGGCCCAGGACAUCUCCUGGGGAUACAGGGAAGAGCAGAAGCCGUGGAGGCUCGCAGCUUCAGUCACAAUGACUUGUUCUGGAAAGUCAGCUGCCAUGUUGUGAGAACACUCAAGCAGUCCUAAUAAGGGGCCAAUGUCGCAAAGAACUACGGCCUCCCACUGAGAGCCAUGUGGAAGAGCCAUCAUAGAGGGGAUCCUUCAGCCCCAGUUGAGCCUUCAGAUGACUACAGCCUAAAGACAGACUAUGAGCCAGAACCACCAGAUUAGUUUCUCCUAAAUCUCUAACCCACAGAAACUAUGAGCCAAUAAAUGUCACCUAUCUUAGGCCUCCAAAAACACCCAUUCUUUAAGUCUGAAAUU